rnacentral:rRNA from 1 species
UACGGAGGGUGCAAGCGUUAUCCGGAUUCACUGGGUUUAAAGGGUGCGUAGGAGGACAGGUAAGUCAGUGGUGAAAUCUUCGAGCUUAACUCGGAAACUGCCGUUGAUACUAUCUGUCUUGAAUAUUGUGGAGGUGAGCGGAAUAUGUCAUGUAGCGGUGAAAUGCUUAGAUAUGACAUAGAACACCAAUUGCGAAGGCAGCUCGCUACACAUAUAUUGACUCUGAGGCACGAAAGCGUGGGGAUCAAACAGG